AAUAUUUUAGUCUUGUCCAUGUGUAUCCAAACAUAAUACUGGACAUUACAUUAGUGUCUUGUACAGCGUAUCCAAACACAAUACACAAACAAUAAUUUUUAGUGUCUCCGUCCUAUUGUCUCUGUCUCAGUGUCAUGUUCUGUCUUGUCUCUGAAAACAAACGCAGCCUAACUUACCACUCACCCCUCAGCGCAGCCACACACAACCCCCAACACAAAGCUUCAAUAAACUCACUCUCCCUCUUUCUCUUCCAUGCCUGAGACUCUGAGAGGAUGAGAGCCUGAGAGAGCCAAUGAGCCAGAGAGCUACCGCCGUCCUUCAGAGUUCAGUCGCAAGUCGUCCAUCGUGACCGUGAAGGACAUCGUCGAUCUCCAUCGCGCCAUCUCUAAUCGCAGUCUUCACGCCGUCAUCGAUCUUUGUCUGAUCCGUUCUUCUCCGUCGCCGAGUAGCAGUCUCCGUCGCCGAACAAACCCUUAGUCCGAGCCCUCUCCUGCAACUCAGUGUCUUCUUCUGAGAAAUUGCACCAACCGGAGAAGAUGAUGAUGAGUCUGGUGUGGAUUCAGAUUAAGCAUGGUGGCUGUUUUGGUUUU